rnacentral:rRNA from 1 species
UUGGAGGCAGCCGCCGCGCUGUCUAGUAUAGCACUCUUGUACCGUGAAACUGCGAAUGGCUCAUUAAAUCAGUUAUCGUUUAUUUGAUAGUACCCUACUACAUGGAUACCUGUGGUAAUUCUAGAGCUAAUACAUGCGCAAAACCCCGACUUCGGAAGGGGUGUAUUUAUUAGAUAAAAAACCAAUGCCCCUCGGGGCUCCUUGGUGAUUCAUAAUAACUUCACGAAUCGCAUGGCCUUGCGCCGGCGAUGGUUCAUUCAAAUUUCUGCCCUAUCAACUUUCGAUGGUAGGAUAGUGGCCUACCAUGGUGGCAACGGGUAACGGGGAAUUAGGGUUCGAUUCCGGAGAGGGAGCCUGAGAAACGGCUACCACAUCCAAGGAAGGCAGCAGGCGCGCAAAUUACCCAAUCCCGAUACGGGGAGGUAGUGACAAUAAAUACUGAUACAGGGCUCUUUUGGGUCUUGUAAUUGGAAUGAGAACAAUCUAAAUCCCUUAACGAGGAACAAUUGGAGGGCAAGUCUGGUGCCAGCAGCCGCGGUAAUUCCAGCUCCAAUAGCGUAUAUUAAAGUUGUUGCAGUUAAAAAGCUCGUAGUUGAACCUUGGGCCCGUCCUGCCGGUCCGCCUCACCGCGAGUACUGGUCCGGAUGGGCCUUUCUUUCUGGGGAAUCCCAUGGCCUUCACUGGCUGUGGCGGGGAACCAGGACUUUUACUGUGAAAAAAUUAGAGUGUUCAAAGCAGGCCUUUGCUCGGAUACAUUAGCAUGGAAUAAUAGAAUAGGACGUGCGGUUCUAUUUUGUUGGUUUCUAGGACCGCCGAAUGAUUAAUAGGGAUAGUCGGGGGGCGUCAGUAUUCAGCUGUCAGAGGUGAAAUUCUUGGAUUUGCUGAAGACUAACUACUGCAAAAGCAUUCACCAAGGUUGUUUUAUUUAUUAGGAACAAAAGUUAGGGGGAUGAGAGGAGAUCCGAAUCCG